rnacentral:lncRNA from 1 species
CAACAAAUAAGUCAUGCAUUUCCAAUACAUCGGUCUUUACAUCAUCAUUCAUCAAUCUCCCCACACUUCACAUGCUUUAAAUAAUAAACUAUUCAUGUAUUUUUUAACAACCCAUCGACGUACUCAUGCACAGUUAAUUAAAUAUUCUGUUAAUUGUCAUUUAAUCUUAGACCUUCAUCAUCUUUACAUCACAUUCAUCAUCUCAUAGCAAAGAUUAAUCGAUUCAUUAAAAUCAGUAUUCUCAAGUUAUCAUAAAAAAAAUCAGUUUAACUAUUUCGAGCAAAA